UACGUAGGGUGCGAGCGUUGUCCGGAAUUACUGGGCGUAAAGCGUGCGCAGGCGGUUAUUUAAGUCAGGUGUGAAAGCCCUGGGCUUAACCUAGGAAUUGCGCUUGAGACUGGAUAGCUUGGAGUGCGGCAGAGGGAGGUGGAAUUCCACGUGUAGCAGUGAAAUGCGUAGAGAUGUGGAGGAACACCGAUGGCGAAGGCAGCCUCCUGGGCCAGCACUGACGCUCAUGCACGAAAGCGUGGGGAGCAAACAGG
rnacentral:rRNA from 1 species